UACGAAGGGGGCAAGCGUUAUUCGGAUUUAUUGGGCGUAAAGGGCGCGUAGGCGGUUGGGUAAGUCCGGUGUGAAAACGCUACCGCUCAACGGAGCGAAUGCGCUGGAUACUGCUGAACUUGAGUACGGAAGAGGCUGGCGGAAUACCUGGUGUAGCGGUGGAAUGCUCAGAUAUCAGGUAGAACACCUGUGGCGAAGGCGGCCAGCUGGUCCGGUACUGACGCUGAGGCGCGAAAGCGUGGGGAGCAAACGGG
rnacentral:rRNA from 1 species